rnacentral:lncRNA from 1 species
UUAAAUCCAUUUUAUUAUGUGUGGGACUUGGACACUUGUUCUAGUUCCUUUUUACUUUUUUUUUCGUUUUGUGUGUUUGAGUCUUUUUCCAGGGUAAGUGUUGCCGCCGUGCUUGGGCUUCAUGGAUCAUGCAUCUUGAUUCUCCCGUUUCUCACAGGAUCCAAAUAUUCCUAUGCUACUUUUUCGUUUCGUUCAGCAAGGACACUGUCUAAGCUAAGGGUGGGGUGGGUUUGUAUAGGAUGCCUG